CCCUUAGACGUUCUGGGCCGCACGCGCGCUACACUGACGAAUGCAACGAGCUUAUAACCUUGGCCGAAAGGUCUGGGUAAUCUCCAAAUUUCGUCGUGAUGGGGAUAGAUUAUUGCAAUUAUUAAUCUUCAACGAGGAAUGCCUAGUAAGCGCAAGUCAUCAGCCUGCGUUGAUUACGUCCCUGCCCUUUGUACACACCGCCCGUCGCUCCUACCGAUUGAAUGGUCCGGUGAAGCGUUCGGACCGUGGCCUUUGGACGGUUCGCCGUCUGUUGGCUGCGGGAAGUUCGUUAAACCUUAUCAUUUAGAGGAAGGAGAAGUCGUAACA
rnacentral:rRNA from 1 species